UUUUCUAAAUACAUUAUAAGUACAUCUUCCAUUUGACAUACUUUUUAUUAAAAUUAGACAAUUUCCCCUUAUAUAGGGGGCGUUCAAAACUUGAAACAUUGUAUAAAAAAUAGAACUUUUUCAACUGAACUUUUGAAAAUGUUCCGGAAAUACUGCGUCCUUUAAAUAUAUAUAAAAUUAAAGCUUAUGUCAUGUACUAUAAAAUUAAAAAAAAAAUUUGUCCCGUCGACCUAUCUUCUAUGCACAAAAGGCUACCGUAUUCAAAAAUAUGCUAUUUUUGUAAUAAAUUUCUGAGUUUUGUAUUUUAUUUUAUUUUAAAAUAUCUUAUUAGGGGAAUACACUGACUUUCAUGAAUAUUGUUCUAUUAAAACUUUCACUUUAAAGGACAAAAAAAAGUACGUUCAAAAUGAUUACUUUUAACAUAUUAAAAAUCAAAAUCAAUAAUAAUUUGAAAACAAUUAAUUUAAAAAAUUAUAUAAUAUAUAAUUAAAAGAAAAUCUAAUCUGGGUAUAAUUAAGGAAAUAGAAGUUGAUGUUGUUUUUGUCCAUCAAUUUUUUAGAAUUAAACACUAUCUAAAGAUUUGCAUCGAAGCGUUUUUUAUGAAUGUGAUUUUAAUCACUGUCAGAUUAAAUCUAUACUAGAACUAAUUAUACAACAUCCCCACUAUGUCGCGACUUAAUUUUUAUAGUAUACUAUGAACAUAUUUUGAUAUAUUUAUAAUAUAUUUUUACAUUAUAUUUUAAACUUUUUAAUAUCCUAAAAUUCAUUAAUUCUUGAUCACCUGGCAUGAAAAUUUGUCUAAAUAAUUACCUUUAUUAAAAAUUCAUGGAGUACUAAUGAAACAGACUAUUUUUGCUUACAAUUUUAUAUAAACCAAAUAAUAUUUAUCAUUACGAAAAUUUAAAUUUAUUUUAUGCAUUCUUAAAUAAACAGACUUAUUUUCAUCAGAUUUCUUCAUAAACUACAAAUAGUGAUCAAAAAAGAUCAAAUUUAUCUCUUAAAGCACAACAAAAUUAAAUUUUGACCUAUUAUUUGAUUUUUUUAUUGAAUCAUUAUCUAAAUAAUAAUUAUGACGUUGUGCUACGUGAAAUACUCAGACGACCACUCGCCGAGUUAAAUCGCGUCUCUCUCGGUUUCCUUUAUAUUAAAUAAAAAUAAAAAUUAAGUUUUUGUGGACUGUAAUUUAUAUUCCCCUGUUAAUAUUUUCCAAUACAAUAACAACAAUAAUUUAUACCUUAAAUCUAUGGUUAGUAAUUAACACUUAAUCAAAUAAUAAAAUAUAACAACAUAAAAUAUUCUUAACAAUUAAUACUUAGACAAAAACAUAAAAUGUAUAAUUUGACCUUGCGCUUCUUCGUACCAAGUUGAAAAGUGUUUCAAUGUGUCAAUUAUUACAGUCGUGCCUAACGCAAUCAACUGUAAAAUAUAUACUUCUAUCGCUGAAGAACGGAAUACUAAUAGGCACCAUUUUGCGCAUUAAUUUGUAUAAACCAACGAAAAUAAAGUGAAUUAAACACAUAAAACACCAAAAUAAGCAAGCUGAACAGUGAUACAACAUCAACUGCAACACAACUUACUAGACAUCAAAACAACACAACAGAGUCCGUAAUCCGGAACAUACGACAACAUAAGUAGGAGAGCCCACACAUACACUACCCCAACAGUAAAACUGGUUAGGAUAGGUCGCGCUUAUAACGCUGACAACUGAACUCUCUUUGACACGACCGAAUGUAGUGCAAGUGUAAAUAAUAUCAAUUUUUAAAAUUAAUAUCUUACCAACUAUAGAAAAUGAACAAUUAAGAAAAUCAUUUAAUUUUACUAAUACAUUUUUAAUUUAUAUUCGAUUAGAAGAUACUGAAAUGACAAUAAAUGAAGCAAUGACAUUAGUAUAUCAAAUUCAAAAUAAUAAAAUGGAAAAAUUAGCUGAUGUUUUGCAAAAUUCUGCGAAUAAUGGAUAUAUUUUUCUGUGGGUGGCACAAUCAAUAUUUACUAACUAUAAGUUAGAUGAUAAAAUACUAAACAACACUCUACAUAAAUUGAGUAAGAAUCCCGAUGAAUUACUUAAAGUGGAAGAUAUCAAAAAACUCUUAAAAUGAAAUUUAUUAUAUUAUUUAUAUGUAAAGAACUAUAAAUAAACUUCUAUUUGAGUA